UAGAGUUUGAUCAUGGCUCAGAUUGAACGCUGGCGGCAGGCCUAACACAUGCAAGUCGAGCGGUAACAGGAAUUAGCUUGCUAAUUCGCUGACGAGCGGCGGACGGGUGAGUGAUGCCUGGGAAUAUGCCUUGAUGUGGGGGAUAACUAUUGGAAACGAUAGCUAAUACCGCAUAAUGUCUUCGGACCAAAGAGGGGGAUCUUCGGACCUCUCGCGUCAAGAUUAGCCCAGGUGAGAUUAGCUAGUUGGUGGGGUAAGAGCUCACCAAGGCGACGAUCUCUAGCUGGUCUGAGAGGAUGAUCAGCCACACUGGAACUGAGACACGGUCCAGACUCCUACGGGAGGCAGCAGUGGGGAAUAUUGCACAAUGGGCGAAAGCCUGAUGCAGCCAUGCCGCGUGUAUGAAGAAGGCCUUCGGGUUGUAAAGUACUUUCAGUCGUGAGGAAGGGUGUGUAGUUAAUAGCUGCACAUCUUGACGUUAGCGACAGAAGAAGCACCGGCUAACUCCGUGCCAGCAGCCGCGGUAAUACGGAGGGUGCGAGCGUUAAUCGGAAUUACUGGGCGUAAAGCGCAUGCGGGUGGUUCAUUAAGUCAGAUGUGAAAGCCCGGGGCUCAACCUCGGAACCGCAUUUGAAACUGGUGAACUAGAGUGCUGUAGAGGAGGGUAGAAUUUCA
rnacentral:rRNA from 1 species